UUGUUUGUUUAUUUAUUGUACCUAGGAUUGAACUCGGGACCUUGUGCUUGCAAGGCAUGCCGUGGAACCACUCACUGAGCUAAAUCCCCGGCCCAAUGUUAGUUUUUACUAGUGAAGCAUCAGAACAUGUCUUCCACCAGGAGAAUUCACAGUACCAGCACAGCUCCGAAUUCCCGCCCAGGAAUCCCAGUGAAUGCUGAGGAAGCACCUUUUACUCUCUUUCACCGCCCACAUCUACAGUGCUCCUGCAUGAAUCUCUGGUUCUUUACUCACAACAGCAUGGCCUGCGAAGGAGGAGGAAACAAGAGGUGGGGAAUAAAGGAGGUUUUUGAGGUGGGUUUUUCUCUUCUGACGCACACAGUUUUUCCGAUGGCCAGUUCAAUGACAAGGAGCAAAACUGAUCUGGGCAACAGCAUCAUCACUGGAACCUUCAUUCAGCUUUUCUGUGAGGCACUAAUAAAAACAUUAAAAUUUUACAGGCAAAUGUAUGUCUGCAGAUAAAUGAACGUGAAGUGCCUAAGAAUUUUGCUUUUUAAUAUUUGCAUUAAUCGAAUAUACUAUUUUUUAGAGCCUUCACUAUUUAUUUUAAGAGAAAUUCUAAGUUAUUUGACCUAGUAUUACAGUUGAGAUUUUCAAAACCAAAACCAAAACCAAACCAAAACAUCUUAGUACAGAUUAUCUGCCGGAAUUGUUUGGAAGCAUCAAAUUAUAAAGAAGUAUUGUAAUACAGCAAACCAAAAAAUCUUCA
rnacentral:lncRNA from 1 species